GUGGCUGUAGCUCAGUUGGCAGAGCACCGGGCCAGGGCCCCGGUACGGGUUCAAUUCCCAUCAGUCACC
rnacentral:tRNA from 1 species